rfam:Danio rerio chromosome 21, GRCz11 reference primary assembly.
ACUGACAGCCAUAUCACCCUGCAGCCCAAGACCAGUUAAUCACUGAAGCUGAGCAGGGCUGAGCCUGGUCAGUACCUGGAUGGGAGACCACAUGGGAAAACUAGGUUGCUGUUGGAA